GUGGGGAAUCUUGCGCAAUGGGCGAAAGCCUGACGCAGCCAUGCCGCGUGAAUGAUGAAGGUCUUAGGAUUGUAAAAUUCUUUCACCGGGGACGAUAAUGACGGUACCCGGAGAAGAAGCCCCGGCUAACUUCGUGCCAGCAGCCGCGGUAAUACGAAGGGGGCUAGCGUUGCUCGGAAUUACUGGGCGUAAAGGGCGCGUAGGCGGACAGUUUAGUCAGAGGUGAAAGCCCAGGGCUCAACCUGGGAAUUGCCUUUGAUACUGGCUGUCUUGAGUACGGGAGAGGUGAGUGGAACUCCGAGUGUAGAGGUGAAAUUCGUAGAUAUUCGGAAGAACACCAGUGGCGAAGGCGACUCACUGGCCCGUUACUGACGCUGAGGCGCGAAAGCGUGGGGAGCAAACAGGAUUAGAUACCCUAGUAGACC
rnacentral:rRNA from 1 species